rnacentral:rRNA from 1 species
CCUACGGGUGGCAGCAGUGAGGAAUAUUGGUCAAUGGACGAGAGUCUGAACCAGCCAAGUAGCGUGAAGGAUGACUGCUCUAUGGGUUGUAAACUUCUUUUAUAAAGGAAUAAAACGAGGCACGUGUGCCUUUUUGCAUGUACUUUAUGAAUAAGGAUCGGCUAACUCCGUGCCAGCAGCCGCGGUAAUACGGAGGAGCCGAGCGUUAUCCGGAUGUAUUGGGUUUAAAGGGAGCGUAGAUGGGUUGGUAAGUCAGGUGUGAAAGUUCGCGGCUCAACCGUAAAAUUGCAAUUGAUACUGGCAGUCUUGAGUACAGUUGAGGUAGGCGGAAUUCGUGGUGUAGCAGUGAAAUGCUUAGAUAUCACGAAGAACUCCGAUUGCGAAGGCAGCUUACUAGACUGCCACUGACGUUGAUGCUCGAAAGUGUGGGUAUCAAACAGGAUUAGAUACCCGAGUAGUC